rnacentral:sRNA from 1 species
AAGGGUCAGCUGGAGUGGGUUAAGAGGAAGGUUGUUUGUGCGGAGGCGUAUGGAGUUUGGGUGCAGGUGAGACAGGGGAGGUUGUGAUUUUUACUUUUUCCCUCUGAUGUACUAGUAUUUAUUAUCAUGUAAUGUGUUUUGUAGAUAAUGUUAACUAUAGAAGGGAGGUUGAGGGACUUGAGGCGGGUUUGUACAGAGACAUAGAUAAUAUCCGUUAUCCUCUGUUUAUCUAGAUAGUUAGUUAGAGUUUUGAUGUCUCUCUCUUGAUUAGAUUAGAAUACGAAGUAAACAAAUAGCGUGCAAGCGUGCCCAUACACCCUGCUACUCUAGCAGUUUCAUCCCUCGAAAUCAUAACCUACGAAUGUUGGUGGUUGAGACUCAUAUUGCAAUAUCGCUCAAGGGGUUGCAACAACACAAAACUCGCCCC